AAGGCUUUAAUAAAGCAAAUAAUAAUAAUAAAUUAAAAGAAAAAUAAUUUUAUGUGCAUUAAUUUAUCAAAAGAAAGUUAUAGUUAUCCAUAGGCCAUCCACAAUUAGGCCACUCAGAAGCAAACUGCAGGUGAAAAUUCAUGAGUUAGUUCCGUUUGGAAUCAAGAGAAAGAAAUAAAACUUGAUCAAAAGUAUUGUAGAGAUUAAAGAAAAUCAGGAUUUCAUUCACAUAUUAACAUUAAGUAUGGAAGGAACUUAGAAGAAAACCUUCUGAAAAACAUCAAAGAAGAAUGCAAGAGAUGCAAAGUUUGUGACAACUACAAUUUUUUUUUUUUUUUUGGGUUGCUUUUAGAAACACUGGUCUGUGUUUAUUAAAGCAUUUCAAUGACAUCCGGUGGUCCACCUUCACACAUGGGCCAGUUACAAAGCACACAUAUAAGCUUCUGGACGUAAAGAUGGGCCAGUUACAAAGCACACAUAUAAGCUUCUGGACGUAAAGAUGUAUAGGUGAAUCACAAGACAGUCCACUAACAUAAAGUAGCGAGUACCUCCAACAAGGAAGCUGCAAAUUGCAUUUGGGUCUCCUCGUCU
rnacentral:lncRNA from 1 species